rnacentral:rRNA from 1 species
UAGGGAAUCUUCCGCAAUGGGCGAAAGCCUGACGGAGCAACGCCGCGUGAGUGAUGAAGGUCUUCGGAUCGUAAAACUCUGUUAUUAGGGAAGAACAUAUGUGUAAGUAACUGUGCACAUCUUGACGGUACCUAAUCAGAAAGCCACGGCUAACUACGUGCCAGCAGCCGCGGUAAUACGUAGGUGGCAAGCGUUAUCCGGAAUUAUUGGGCGUAAAGCGCGCGUAGGCGGUUUUUUAAGUCUGAUGUGAAAGCCCACGGCUCAACCGUGGAGGGUCAUUGGAAACUGGAAAACUUGAGUGCAGAAGAGGAAAGUGGAAUUCCAUGUGUAGCGGUGAAAUGCGCAGAGAUAUGGAGGAACACCAGUGGCGAAGGCGACUUUCUGGUCUGUAACUGACGCUNAUGUGCGAAAGCGUGGGGAUCAAACAGGANUAGAUACCCUGGUAGUCCACGCCCGUANCGAUGAGUGCUAAGUGUUAGGGGGUUUCCGCCCCNUNAGUGCUGCNGCUAACGCAUUAAGCACUCCGCCUGGGNNUACGACCGCNNGGNNGA